GUCCAGGGAUGGGAAUCGAAUCCACAGUGUUCAGCCUACCACGCAGAUGCCAUGUCCACUAGGCUACCCUGGA
rnacentral:tRNA from 1 species